CCUACGGGAGGCAGCAGUGAGGAAUAUUGGUCAAUGGGCGCGAGCCUGAACCAGCCAAGUCGCGUGAGGGAAGACGGUCCUAUGGAUUGUAAACCUCUUUUGUCGGGGAGCAAAAGACGCCACGCGUGGCGUUCCGCGAGUACCCGAAGAAAAAGCAUCGGCUAACUCCGUGCCAGCAGCCGCGAUAAUACGGAGGAUGCGAGCGUUAUCCGGAUUUAUUGGGUUUAAAGGGUGCGCAGGCGGAAGAUCAAGUCAGCGGUAAAAUUGAGAGGCUCAACCUCUUCGAGCCGUUGAAACUGGUUGUCUUGAGUGAGUGAGAGGUAUGCGGAAUGCGUGGUGUAGCGGUGAAAUGCAUAGAUAUCACGCAGAACUCCGAUUGCGAAGGCAGCAUACCGGCGCUCAACUGACGCUCAUGCACGAAAGUGUGGGUAUCGAACAGGAUUAGAUACCCGUGUAGUC
rnacentral:rRNA from 1 species